UGAUAUUUAAGAGAUAUGGAUUUGGUUUUGGUCCUGUGUCUUGGCUUUAGCUACAGAAAAACACAUGGUACUUUAUGGGGCCCGGUGAGUAAGUGGGAUUUAAAUUAAGGCAGAUUUUAAUAUUUUGUUUUAUUUUAGGUUCUUAGGCAUAAUUGUUUGGAUAUGACGCUUAUUUUUAUUCACUAUACACCAGUGUUGGAGAUUGAACAAUAAACUUUAGUUUGAUUCAGUGAGUUGCUAUCUAGGCCUGGUAAAGUUUGUGCCAGCAACUGCGGUUAGACAAACAGGCCGAGUUAAGAUUUGUGCAGCAUAAAGUAGGGUUAGGAGGAAAGUUAAAUGGAUUGUUUAAUAGGAAAUUUAAGAUGGUUUGAGGGGUGCAAUCCUAAGAGUCGUGUUUUUAUCUAGUAUUUCCUUUUGUCUGACGCCCUGAGAUUCCAAUUUAAGACCGGGAUUUGGUAUCCCGUUAUUCGGAGUGUAAACUUUGGUUUUUAUAUCUGCUGGGGUACUACGAGCGCUGAAUUAGGCCAGGCUUAAAACUCAAAAAACUUGGCGGUGUUUCAUAUCCUCCCAGGGGAACCUGUCUCAUAAACGAUGAUCCACGUUUUAUCUUACCUUAUUUUGAAAAUUUUUAUGGAAAUGUGUCAGCUUGUAUACCGUCGCCGACGGAUCACCCUUGAGGGAUUUUGAAGUGGUCGGAAGGAAAGGUUGAAUUGUGAGGUGUAGCUGUAAUUGCUUGUUAGGAUGCGGUGGCUGAAUCUCUUGUUAAUAUGUUGUGGUAGCUGUUUUCAGUUCCAUGAUUAAUAAUCUUUCAGGAUGUCAGAUCAAGGUGCAGCUUAUGAUAAGGUGAUGAUGGGUUACAAUAAUUUAUUUAUUAUACGGAUUUUUCGCUGUAAUGUGAAAUUUGAAGGCGGACUUGGAUGUAAUGAUGAAUUAGGAAGUCAUAGUGAACUAGGUUUUGAGAUGUGUACAAAUCGCCCGUCGCUCUCGUCGAAAGAUGAGAUAAGUCGUAACAUAGUAGGGGUACCGGAAGGUGUCCCUGGAAUAUAAUUAGUAGUUUAG
rnacentral:rRNA from 1 species